rnacentral:lncRNA from 1 species
GGCUUGUUGGAACUCCAAACACAUACCCCUGACAGAUACAACAGGGAUUAAUGAGCCAUGACCAGAAGUUUGAUUUUUCUGUCAAGUGCUCCCAUCCGUCUUUAAUAAACAGAAGAACAACAUAAACUCCAUUGCCUGCUUUCCACUGCUGAAACUGAGCUGGCUGUUCCUGGUACCAUAAGGCUGUCUCCUGCGAGGACCAGAAGUUGAGCCAAGGCACAUGGAACUUACAAUAGCAGAUGGUAAGAACCAGGGCAGAAGGAGAACUCCUGAAGCCUCCGAAGGAAGGAAAUCAUUACAGGGCCCUACAGAAGUAGGUCAUGUGCUACAGCUGCUCAUAGUUUAAGAGGAAGAAACAUAGGACCUCAAACCUGGAACACGACUCUUUCAAAAUGCUUGUGAGCAACCCAAGAAAAACAUCCUCCUGAGGCUUAUCUAAUAACCAUGAUCUCUAAUCGUCUCAAUGUGUGCUCAUGUUUCCUUAGGAGUUUGCACCCACUUCUCAGAGCUAACGAGAUGCCGAAACAGAACACAGAGAAAAGUAAUGAAGGAGAUUUAAUAGUUUGUGUUAAAGCUAAUAUGGUCCAUUAGGAGCCGUCAUUUUUAUAAACAGUGAGGAUACGUUACCCUCUUCUUUGGUGUAAAGUCAUUCCAUGCAGGACCUGUAAACAUUCAGUAAUGAUCUGUAGAACAUGCAUGAACGACAAUUAAAGCGCCACUUGAAAAGUCUGUUUUCCUCACAUAUUUG